UACGUAGGGAGCAAGCGUUGUCCGGAAUCAUUGGGCGUAAAGCGCGCGUAGGCGGCCCGGUAAGUCCGUUGUAAAAGUCGAAGGCUCAACCUUCGAAAGCCGAUGGAUACUGCCGGGCUAGAGUUCGGAAGAGGCGAGUGGAAUUCCCGGUGUAGCGGUGAAAUGCGCAGAUAUCGGGAGGAACACCUAUGGCGAAGGCAGCUCGCUGGGACGUUACUGACGCUGAGGAGCGAAAGCGUGGGGAGCAAACAGG
rnacentral:rRNA from 1 species